rnacentral:misc_RNA from 1 species
GAUGAAGAACGCAGCGAAAUGCGAUAAGUAGUGUGAAUUGCAGAAUUCAGUGAAUCAUCGAAUCUUUGAACGCACAUUGCGCCCCUUGGUAUUCCAUGGGGCAUGCCUGUUCGAGCGUCAUUUGUACCUUCAAGCUCUGCUUGGUGUUGGGUGUUUGUCUCGCCUCUGCGUGUAGACUCGCCUCAAAACAAUUGGCAGCCGGCGUAUUGAUUUCGGAGCGCAGUACAUCUCGCGCUUUGCACUCAUAACGACGACGUCCAAAAGUACAUUUUUACACUCUUGACCUCGAAUCAGGUAGGGAUACCCGCUGAACUUAAGCAUAUCAAUAAGCGGAGGA